rnacentral:rRNA from 1 species
AUUGAACGCUGGCGGCAUGCCUUACACAUGCAAGUCGAACGGUAACAGGCUAAGCUGACGAGUGGCGAACGGGUGAGGAAUGUAUCGGAACGUGCCCAGUCGUGGGUGAUAACUGCUCGAAAGAGCAGCUAAUACCGCAUACGACCUGAGUGUGAAAGCGGGGGAUCGCAAGACCUCGCGCGAUUGGAGCGGCCGAUAUCAGAUUAGGUAGUUGGUGAGGUAAAGGCUCACCAAGCCGACGAUCUGUAGCUGGUCUGAGAGGACGACCAGCCACACUGGAACUGAGACACGGCCCAGACUCCUACGGGAGGCAGCAGUGGGGAAUUUUGGACAAUGGGCGCAAGCCUGAUCCAGCCAUGCCGCGUGCGGGAAGAAGGCCUUCGGGUUGUAAACCGCUUUUGUCAGGGAAGAAAAGGUUCUGGCUAAUACCUGGGACUCAUGACGGUACCUGAAGAAUAAGCACCGGCUAACUACGUG